rnacentral:lncRNA from 13 species
UAUUUAUAUGCAAAUUAUCUCGUUUAAUUUUAAGUUAUCUAAGCGUCACAUCGUUUAGUGUUUUGAUUCGUGCAUUUCGGAACACCGUAUAUAAAUGUACGAUCACGAUGCAUAGGAUACCAAGGUACGCUGCGUUCGGAUCGUAAAACAUCUGACUUCAGGACGAAAAACGAAAAACGGCGCCGAAUACAUCUCUCGGUUAUGUUGCAUGCGCAUCUCACGAGGCGCUCUCGCGAAUCUCGUAGGCCGCACGAUUUGGCAUCCUAUAUUUAACGUGGUGCUUCCGUCUUCGGACUGCCGUGACGCGGCCGCGGCUUGGCGCCUCUCGGUUCGUCGUUCGUCGUUCGUCGUUCGUCCGUUCGUUCGCGCGCGUCCCACAACUCGCUCGUCUCGUGACUCGCUUCACGUCGCUCGCGGUUCUGCUCGCGAACGCGUCUUGCGCGGGUGCGCGGUGCCGUGUCCCGGUGCUCUUCGCGGAGACAUGUCAGUGACGUGAACGUACACGCGUGUAGCGUCGAUCCGCGUUUUAUCCCUGCAUUUAUUCUUAAGCAAGAAUGUGCGCCAGACAUCGACGCACGUCCCUGCACGACCUCUUCCACUGGUGAUCGUGGUGGUUUCCCAUAGUGGAAACCAAAAACUUCAUCCUACGCUACGAUGAUGCAAGUUUUCUUCUUUUCAAUCUGGCUUUCCCACAGAUGAUACAUUUAAUCUAAUCUUAAUCUGAAUGACUAAUGCUAAGCACGUAUGAAUCAUAUGGCAAGGGAUGAUAGGCUCGUACCUUUCUAUCUCUGCGACGUCAAAUAUUAUUCUAAAGCUUUGCGAAUGUCGCGGCCAUCCAGCGGAAGCACCAUAGAGUACUGAAAAGACUACAUAACUAUUGUAUCAUAUCAGCCGAGCAUUACCUUAAUCUUGGUAGGAGUCGGACGGACUUGCAACGUACAGUCCGUGUAGAAAGCGCCUUGUCACGAUCGAAUGAAUGUCGGCUCUGUUAACGCGAUGUCCACUCCUUCGAGGAUCACUCCGCGAUUGAGUUGGUUCGCUCUUCGUCUCGUGACUGAGAUGUGAGAGCAGCUCACGGUUCCCGCAAUUUGUUCUGGGUGAUAGAAAACAUUUUAAUAGAUAAAAGAUCUCGCGUGUAUUAAACUAAGUAAAAAUGUACACUUGUUAUACUCCAUACGAAAAUUACAGUUAUUUCAAUUCGCUGUAUAUCUUAUGUAUGAUAUAUAAAAUUGUAAUAAUUCUUUGCAUAAGAAAUUAUGAACAUAGACGUUACUUGGACAGGUUGUAAAGCAAACAUCAGUUUGUUUUUUUAUCUCAAUUGCUACGUUUAUAGCGCGUUACAUCACGUUUCUUGAUGUACUACAUAUACGCACGUACAAAAACCACCUUCCACGUGCAGUAUAAAUUAAACAAGAUUCCCUCACAAUAAUAACGAGGCUUUAAUUUUCACAUAAUCGUAGUUUUAAUAACGAAAGUAAGUCUAGAAACGUACUUCCCGCAUAAUUUUCAAUAAAUAAGAAUCCUGGGUUGAAACCAAUAUGCAAAUUAUAUCAACGUGCGGUAUGCAUAAUUAAGAGAAUAUGUCUAAUCUGCAAUUAUGUUACGUAAUCAGACGCAGAAGUUCCAUAAAAAAAUAAAACGACCAGUCUACAAAGUAUAGACAUGAUCAAUACAUGAUGAAUAAAAAAAAAGCUAAUAGGAUAGAUACAAACUGAUAUAAAAUUAUUUACUAUCAUAUUUGAUUAAUAUCUAGCAAUUCAGACAGCAUCAAUGCUCAAUUUAUUUCACGACUGUUGCAACUGAUAUAGAAAUUCGCGCAAUCCAGACAUCAACGCAUAGCAAACAUUUCUAAAGGAUUAAUCUCGCGUUUUUAUUUAAAAAACAAAACAAUCAGCGAGCGUAAUAUUCUCAGGUGAAAAAGAGAAAUUUCAUAGCGUUUUAUUUCAUUAAUUUUAUUCCAUUAAGUCAGGAAUAUGCAAUUGGCAGCUCGUGGGCUAGAUCCAGAGGCUUUCCAAUUUAACUCGCGAUGUUCAAGUUUGAUCUAUAAAAAAGUCAAAAAUAGAAUUAUUAGCGCGUAGCGCCGAAUUGUUUUAAUACUACAGUAUGUACGAAAAAUAUAUAUUGUUUUAAUAUAUAUUUAUAAGUUCUACAUUUAUCUGUUACUACCUACAGUAUAAUUUUAAUAUUCAUAUUUGGCUCUGCAAAUAUCUGCGUUUUCUUGCAUUAAGCUGUAAUCAGACUAGAGCUUGGAAUUAAAUUGAAAUUUGACUAGUCAAA